rnacentral:lncRNA from 1 species
GCCCAAGGUGACAACCCAAGAGGGGGGGUGAAUUGGGUCUUUUAAAAACUUUUAAACUACUUCUAAUCUUUUAGAGUUAAUUAAGCUAAGUUGUAUGGAUGCUUAGUGAAAUUUAAACUUAGCAAGAGUUUGAUUCUAAUCUAAUCAACUAUUAAGCAGCGGAUAAAAGAUUAGUCUAAGUUUGCCCAAGUAUGCAAUUCAAUUGAAUGAGACUUGAUUAAGUAAAUUGAAUAUGCUUGCAACUAAAGGAUGCACGAAGAAGAGUUAAGCAAGCUUAGUAUCUAAAUAAGUAAGUGAGUGAGGAAGUCAGACAACAAAGAGCAUCACAAACACAACAAAAAUAUAGUGGUUCGGUGCAUCCCAGCACCUACAUCCACUCCCCAAGACCUCUUGGGAAUUUCACUA